GCGGAGUCUUUGCUGGAACACCACGACCACUUUUCUUCACUCCGAACGGCAAAAUAGUCUUUUCCUCUUCCGGUUCUUCAUUUGGUUUGACAGCGACAACGAAAUGUCAACAUGACAAAACAGAUGUCUUGGAGAAGUGAAAACGGGUGUCAACUUAUUUGGCAUAAUCUUGGAAUUUAGAAAAAAAAGAUGCUGAUGCGAAAUAAAAAUCAUUUAAUCUUAUUUAAAAAAAAUCCUAGUUAAGGGAUGCACUUAUCUUGAAUUUUCAUAAUUGUUUUGAUUUGUUUUCCAUGUUUUUUUAAAUCAUUUUACAUUUUUAAUGAAUAAUAUAUAUGGGCCAACCAGUUCUCCACAUUCUUGGCAGUAUUAUGCGCAGGGUGUUGUAGUUCCCCGUUUCGCCGCUGGCAUCAGUUAGGCAGCACAGUUUUGUCCCCCAGUCGGUAAAUGAGUGGCAAUUCUAUCUUUCUCUAUUCUAUGAUAAUAUAUAUGUGCCAACCAGUUCUCCACAUUCUUGGCAGUAUUAUGCGCAGGGUGUUGUAGUUCCCCGUUUCGCCGCUGGCAUCAGUUAGGCAGCACAGUUUUGUCCCCCGGUCGGUAAAUGAGUGGCAAUUCUAUCUUUCUCUAUUCUAUGAUAUCAACCUUGAACGCGUGUGAUGAAAGGCCUUAAGAGCAAUAUCGUACCGCCUUUUUCAUAUGUUGCUCCAGAAUUGUAGGUCUAACAACAAGGGAAUGGUGGAACUAGAUGAAUCACAAAUCCACAUAAAUAAUUUCAAGAUUAUUCAAACGCUUUUUCUGCCGUACAUUUAAU